rnacentral:rRNA from 1 species
UACGUAGGUGGCAAGCGUUGUCCGGAAUUAUUGGGCGUAAAGAGCUCGUAGGCGGUCUGUCGCGUCUGCUGUGAAAACUCGGGGCUUAACCCCGGGCCUGCAGUGGGUACGGGCAGACUAGAGUGCGGUAGGGGAGACUGGAAUUCCUGGUGUAGCGGUGAAAUGCGCAGAUAUCAGGAGGAACACCGGUGGCGAAGGCGGUUCUCUGGGCAUUACCUGACGCUGAGGAGCGAAAGUGUGGGGAGCGAACAGG